CUCGGUUGUGGCUGAUUGAAGCUCACUCUUGUGCGUUACCGACAUCUCCCUCGAAACUUCGGCAUCCUGGAUCCGAGCCAAACGCGACCCAUUGCACAAUCCAACUGCUGGGUAAUUGAGGAUUCUUCGCUAUUUGCGCGUUGAUCUCCUCAAAUCGGCAGCUUUCUUACGCACGUCGAUGCUCUGGGAGUCCAUUCGACGGUGGGCCAUUCCUGGGGCUGGUUUCUUCUCGUCCCUGGGUCGCAAUGUGUGCCUUGUCGAUGAUGUUUCAGAAUCUCAGCUUGUGGGCUCGUGUGUCAGCGGCCUUAGUCUUUACUUGCGUGGGUUGUGCAAGGCUCACGGUUUAGGGUUUGAGUUCCAUGAUUUGAGGUUUAUGUGAUUUGGAGGUGUUUUUGUAGGAUUUGAGACAAGGAUGCAGCGCCCAUCAGUGUAUCGCACCAACCGAUUUUUUUGUGAUUUGUGUUUGUUACGUGAAUCCAGACGAAAUAUUGGCGAGAUCGUGGACCGUUUUUAAAGUUUAAUCCCAUUGCCUCGGAUUAGCUGUGCGGGUUUCCUUCGAGCAAUUCUAGAUGCCACGGUCUGCCAAGAAGCUACCUGUUAGCUAAAUUCUUCCCGCCUUGCAGCGCUUUGUCCAGUGAAGGAAGCGCUCAUCACUGAUUUGUAACCAGAGGGAGGCGUAGAUGCGGAGGGAGUGAUGGAAGGCGUAAGGGAAGAGACAACGUGGGAAUUUGCGCAGUUGGGAUCGGAACCAAGUGUUACCAGGAGGCUAAGUGAAGUGAAGAGGAGCGUGGUAGGAGUGUAAUUGAUGAUUAUGAUCAGCGAAACAUGAAGUGAAGAGAGGAGGGAAGGAUUAAUGGCGUCACAAUGGCUGCUUGCGGUUCUGAUCAGCAUGACGGGAGCGUUGCUGCUGUGGAAUCAGGCUCUGCUGGAGCCCUCUUGCGCGCCCGAUUCCACUGCUCCUUUUGCUCCUUCGUUCAAAGUGGUUGUUGUCGCCGAUCUUCACUUGGCAGGGCCUCGUACAGCGUGGGUGGAUCGUGUGCGCCGUGAGUCCUUUAUGCGAACCGUCUUUCAGAAAGCCUACCGGAGAUUGAAUCCCGAUGCGCUGGUUGUGCUCGGAGACGUGAGCGAUGCUGGUCGGAAGUCGAACGAUGCCCAGUGGAACGCAGUGGUGGCUCGAUUCUGGGAUAUGGUUCGCCCCUUCGCGGCCGUCCCCAUCCAGAUUGUGGUUGGAAAUCACGACGUCGGUGACCAUCACGAUCCUGGUUUCUCCCGGCGCCUGCCUCGCUUCGCUGCCUCAUUUCCUGGCUUGGACGACACAUGUGGGAGCCACUUCACCUGGCAUGGGGUGGAUUUUGUGUCCUUAAAUGCCAUGGCACUGCAUGGAGAUGGCUGCUCGGUUUGCUCCAGGGUGAAGGAACAUUUGGAAUCCACAAGCUCUGCAGUUCAGAGACAUCACAAGGAAAGUGGCCAAGAGCAAGAUAUACGAAGUCAUAAUAUUGAGGGAGGAGAUGGCGAUGGAGUCGUUAAGCCUGUUCUCCUUCUUCAUUUACCAUUGCAUCGUGCAGAUGAGAAUGCUUGCACCGUUGUAGACCUUCCACGUUGCGCACCAUGGCACGAUUUGGAAGGGAAUUGUUUGGAAGUGGGUUCAUCACCUCCACUAGUACCGCCUCAAGAAGACCCUUACAGAGUGGGCCAGGACGUAUUAUCGCUCGAAGCAUCGGCGCAAGUUCUCCAGUCAUUUCGACCACGACUGGUGUUCAGUGGACACACGCACCGCUGGUGUGACCUAGUGCAUGCGGAUGGCACAAGGGAGGUGACUGUGCCGUCGUUAAGCUGGCGCAACCGCGAUGAUCCCAGCUUUGUGCUGGCCACUUUUCAGUCAAACUCUAGCGCCUUCAGUAUCCAGCGCUGCAUGCUAGCUCGUGAGUCCACUGUGAUUCUGUUAUAUGUGUUGUGGGGGUUCACCAUGGUGAGCUGGUUGCUGGUCGCAGCAUUCGUUAUGCUCAGGCGGCUGAGGUCCAAGUCUGUGAAGCCGGAGUGACGCGUGGAGAUGAAGUCGGAGCAAAUGGAGACAGGGAAGGUGAGGAAUGGCAAGAUUCUAGAAUUGCGAAGUCAAGCACGAGUAUCCUAUUCCAUGGUAGGGAAACUUGUCAAGCGCCUGAGAUCUAGUGGGUUAGCAAACGGAGGGCCUACAACGAGGGAUCGCCGAAUCACUGGAACUGGGGCGAUUGGGGACCAACCCACCAAAGAAGAAAACGUCGAUCGUACAAUCUCCGCUAGCGCAGCUCCGAUCAUAAAAACUCAGCGUGGUGCGCAGAGUGUUGGCAAAGCAAACAGCAGACAUCAAUCCUUGGAAAGUGGAAUUCAUCCAUGCUCUCGCCACAACUGACUCAAGCUACCAUGACACCACCACCAGUCGAAAGAGCAACCACACACACACAAGCAUGCAUUCAUUCUUCCAUUCAUUCAUUCAUUCACUCACUUCACUCCAGACAUCGACUGCCAACCUCUCUCGCAAUGGCUGUAGAAAUUGCCAACUUUACUCCCUCCCCCCGUUCCCCCCUGCUGCUGCACAUGACUGGAUGUGUUUUUUUGUUGUUGUUCUAUUCCACUGUCAGAGAGAGAGUGAGAGAAUGAACACGUCAAGGUGGUGGUGGUGGUGGUGGUGAUGGUUAUGGAGAGAUUGAAUGUCCGUCCGGAUCUCUGGAUCCUGAUUGUAUGUGUGAGUGAGUGAGUCAGUGAAUCUAUCGGGGAAGGUGGUUUGGCUGCAAUAUGUGCAGGUCUUCCCUUCUCCUCCUGGUCAGCCCUUCCUUUCCUUAUAACAAGAGCCCCCCCCCCCACCCCCCCCUGUUUAACUAAACCGCAUCAUGCGAAUGUCCUGUCUGGAUGGGUUGGUGCAAAGCUGCACUUAUGGUGACAAUUCCCUGGUUUUGAUGACAGCCAGACACAGCCAGCCAGCCCGACAGACUCAGUAAAUGAGUGAAUGAGUGAUUUAUUGAAGGAUGGAAGGAUGGAUAGAUAGAUAGAUAGAUUGAUAGAUUGAUAAAUAAAUAAAUAAAUAAAUAAAUGGAGGGGAUGUGUGUUUGUGUGUUUCUUCAUGAAUGAAUGAGGGGUCUGAAUUAUGAACUGAUUGGGUGAAU